GUCUGCUAAUCUUAGCUGUACUCUAGCCUUUCUCUCCUCCUACUGGGUUGCAAGUCUAGCGUGCUUGCAGAAUGGAUAGAAAGGAUAGGAAAGUACAGAAGAAGAAUAUAGUGUGAAAAAGAAAUCCUAAGGUAGUAAAAAGGAGUGAUCUCUUGGUGGCCAGGGACAGGUGUUUGUCAGUCAUCUCCGUAAGCCUUAGUGGUC
rnacentral:lncRNA from 1 species